rnacentral:rRNA from 1 species
UACGGAGGGGGCUAGCGUUGUUCGGAAUUACUGGGCGUAAAGCGCACGUAGGCGGCUUUGUAAGGUAGAGGUGAAAGCCCGGGGCUCAACUCCGGAAUUGCCUUUAAGACUGCAUCGCUCGAAUUGUGGAGAGGUAAGUGGAAUUCCGAGUGUAGAGGUGAAAUUCGUAGAUAUUCGGAAGAACACCAGUGGCGAAGGCGACUUACUGGACACAUAUUGACGCUGAGGUGCGAAAGCGUGGGGAGCAAACCGG